AGCCGGGAGCGCGAGGGCUGGGAAUAAUUUAUUUCCCCCGGUGUCGGGGUGGGAGGGAGGGGAAGGUCCCUCCUCCUCCUCCUCCUCCACCUCUUUCUCCUCCUCCGCCGGCGCCGCCCGCUCCUCCCGCUCCUCGCUCUGCGCACCGGGGUGCGGUGCUGCCGCUGCGGGGCCGCGGGCUGCCGGCCCGGCGCUGUCGCUGCCCUUUGUCUGCCGCCCGUCCCUGCUUACGGGUCCCCGCCCAGGCCCCGGCCCUUGGCGCUGCUCCCGGGUCCCUGCCCCAGCUGCCGCUCCGACACCUGAGUCCCUGUGCCCCCGUGCCGCUGCCCCAACCUCCGUCUCUCUGCCUCCGUCUCUCUGCCCUGUCCCUCAGCCCCAGUCCCUUGUACGCACACCCCAGCCCUCUUCCUUUUGCCCCUACCCCUCUUCCCUUGUCCCUGUCCCCCUCUCUGCCUCUGUCCCUGUCCCUGCCCCAACCCUGUCCCUGGUAGAUGUGUACCCACUGCUGGGGAAAACGUCGGUUUGUACUCUAACCUUCUCCCCACACACAUACAGAGACCCUGCAGCCCAGGAGGGGCAGCGUGAGGGUCCCCAGGGAGGGCAGGUCCCCAGGAGGGCGGUUCUGCCCUCAGGAAGGUGUGCCUGGGCCCCGCACCUCAGGAAGAGGAGCGAACCCAGAGCGGACUGCAGGGAGAAUGAGCGGCUGGACACGGAACACUGGCAAGAGGAAUAAUUCAUACACACGUACAUUUUUAGCAGAGCAGGGAUAGCAGAGGGACCGCAGUAUCAGGAGACAGGAGCAAACCUACCGGUCUGUAAGGUAUGUGCCACACUGCUGCUGGAUGCCAACUGGUGCCCAGGGACAGCGCGGGUGAGCACCAGUGACAUGAUGUAAGCAGAAAGCAGAGCGUACCUGCCAGCAUUUUGUCAAGUGCAGAACUGGCACAGGCCAGGGGCUCCCUCCCUCCUGGAUCCAUGUUGGUGCCAGAGGGAAAGGUUCCCUCCGCAGAGGCGCGAGCCACAUGGCAGCUGCCCCUCAUUCGUGCAGGCUGCCGGGCUGGCCCACCUCCACACUGCUGAUGGGAGCCCGCGUGGGGCCCUG
rnacentral:lncRNA from 1 species